UACGUAGGGCGCGAGCGUUGUCCGGAAUUAUUGGGCGUAAAGAGCUCGUAGGCGGCCUGUUGCGUCCGCUGUGAAAUCCCCGGGCUCAACCUGGGAAUGGCAUUUGGGACUGCAAGGCUGGAGUGCGGCAGAGGAGACUGGAAUUCCUGGUGUAGCAGUGAAAUGCGUAGAUAUCAGGAGGAAUACCGAUGGCGAAGGCAGGUCUCUGGGCUGACACUGACGCUCAUGCACGAAAGCGUGGGGAGCAAACAGG
rnacentral:rRNA from 1 species